GGGGACAAGGACAUCCCUCCCCACGCGUGUGAGAAGCCGAAGAGGAAGAGAAGGCGAUUAAAAUGGCGCCGCGACCUCCAAAAGGAGGCUGUUCUGGUUGUAGAUACCCCGGUGGGAGAAAACCCAGCAGUUCUCCGGGCCGCGCCACCUUCCGGGGCCCUUGAAGGCGCAUCAGUCCGGGCAAGACUGUCCUGGGGCUCCCGGCUGAGCUCUCCCCGCCCGGCUACGCAGGCCGGUUUGCACGCCUCGGUCCGCCAGGCGCAUCGGCGACCGCUUAGCGGGAUCCGCGGACCCCGGGGCGCGGGACUGCGCGUUGGGACGAGGGCGGGGCGGGCGGCGGCCG
rnacentral:lncRNA from 1 species